AUUGAACGCUGGCGGCAGGCCUAACACAUGCAAGUCGAGCGAGUGGCGGACGGGUGAGUAAUGUCUGGGGAACUGCCUGAUAGAGGGGGAUAACUACUGGAAACGGUGGCUAAUACCGCAUACCAUCAGAUGUACCCAUAUGGGAUUAGCUAGUAGGUGGGGUAAAGGCUCACCUAGGCGACGAUCCCUAGCUGGUCUGAGAGGAUGACCAGCCACACUGGAACUGAGACAGGGUCCAGACUCCUACGGGAGGCAGCAGUGGGGAAUAUGGCACAAUGGGCGCAAGCCUGAUGCAGCCAUGCCGCGUGUAUGAAGAAGGCCUUAGGGUUGUAAAGUACUUUCAGCGGGGAGGCGUUACCCGCAGAAGAAGCACCGGCUAACUCCGUGCCAGCAGCCGCGGUAAUAC
rnacentral:rRNA from 1 species